rnacentral:misc_RNA from 1 species
GAUGAAGAACGCAGCGAAAUGCGAUAAGUAAUGUGAAUUGCAGAAUUCAGUGAAUCAUCGAAUCUUUGAACGCACAUUGCGCCCGCUGGUAUUCCGGCGGGCAUGCCUGUUCGAGCGUCAUUUCAACCCUCAAGCUCUCCGGAGUUUGGUGUUGGGGCGCCUGGGGCUUUUCGACCUCAGGGCCCUCAAGUCCAUCGGCGGGACCGCCAGGACACUGAGCGCAGUAGUAUUAUUUCGCUCGGUAGGAUCUUCCACGGCGGGUCGAUCUGGCCGCUAAACCCCCCAAUUCUCACCAAAGGUUGACCUCGGAUCAGGUAGGGAUACCCGCUGAACUUAAGCAUAUCAAUAAGCGGAGGA